UUUGCUCUAUGUAAUUUUUUUUUUGUUGAAGUAUGUAUAAUUUGAACCCAUAUUUGGUAUUUAUAUAAGUAUAUAUGUUUAUAGUAUUAUCUAUGUAUUUUCCUCUUUUUUACAAGCACGGGUAGGAUUUCUAGUGUUGGGAAAGUCGGGGUCCUCCCUGACCCUUUGAAUGUUAUUAGCACGGCCAAGACCAUUGAUGCGGCUACUAUUGUCGUAUUAUUGAUUAAAAGAUUAUUAAAGAUUGCCAAAUAUUAACUCUUUACAUAGUUCAUCAUGUAGCAGUACAAAACAUCAUAAGACAGAAUUUUUAUUGGACACUUCACGAAAACAUGUAUAUAUUGUUGCCAGUUUUAUCGUGCAUGGUGGACUUUGCUUUGAAAUUUAUUAAAGCCAUGAACUAGGGAAUAGGUCUGGGAAAAUUAUAAAGGCAUCUAAGGAAAAUAGAUUGUGGAGGAGCUAAGAAUAUUUGACAUAAGCACAUAGAAUACAUGGGCAGUCGUCACUUUAUAUGUGUUAAAUAUUUGACAUAUGCACAAAUAUUCAAAACUAUACUAAAUACUAUGCUAGGAAUGAUAAAAAUUACAAAGAUAGUGAUUUAGGAUUGUUAGUGCGGUCAAUAUUUGUUAUUGUUAGGUUGUUAGAGUUUUAUUCCUUGGUUUUAGGAAUAUUGUUAUCAGAUUUUUUUUGUAUAAAUAUAUGUAUUAUAAGCCCUAAUGAAUAGAUAGCAGAGAUAUACGAUUAAUCUCUUUCUUUUAUCUUUUUUUAAUAUUUUUUCUUGCUGAAUAUACUUUCAUGGUAUCAGAGCUGAAAAAAUAUUCAGCAAUUGAGAAAAUAUGACUUCGACAGGGGUAAGCGAAGAUCAGGUUCAGACUGAGUCUUUGAACUCAGUUCCACCGGGCUUCAAAAUUACUCCUAACUCUCUCUCUGAAAACUUAUUUUUCCAUCAAAUUUCGGCAUUUAAAUUAAAUGGAUGAAAUUUUUUAAGCUGGUCCCGAUCGGUCCAGCUGGUAAUUCGUGGGAAAGGGAAGAUCGGCUUCAUCGAUGGCUCCAAACUACCUCCAAAAGAUUCAGACCCUUCCUAUUCCGAUUGGGGCAUCAAUAACUCAAUGGUGAUGUCGUGGUUAAUUAAUUACAUGGAGAAUUCUAUUGCUGAAAUUUAUCUUCUUUAUUCAACGGCAAAAGAAAUUUGGGAUGUCGUAACUAUGGCUUAUUCUGACCUUGAAGAUGCUUCUCUGAUGUUUCAUCUUCCUACUCGGGCUCGCACUCUUCGACAAGGUGAAACCAAUGUUACUUUAUAUUUUAAUAAUCUAACAAAACUCUGGCAAGAAUUAGAUUUGUUUUCUCCACAAAAAUGACAUGACCCUAAAGAUGCUGAGAUUUAUCGCAAAAUCCUUACAAAGGAAAGGAUCUAUGAUUUUCUUCCCGGACUGGACAGCAGCCUAGAUCAUGUACGCAGCCGAAUUCUCAGCAACAAAACAAUCCCUUCCUUGGACGAAAUUUUUGCCGAAGUUCGUAGAGAAGAAUCUCGCAAGCAUGUCAUGCUUCCUUUCACUGUCCAACAAAAAAAUCCUUCUUCUCAAGAGGCUUCGGCAUUGGCUGCUCGUAAUGUUGAUAAUCGCAACUCUAAGAAGUCAUCUCAGUUUUGUGAUCACUGCCAACGACCAUACCACACAAAAGCUACCUGUUGGAAGCUUCAUGGCAAACCAACUGAUUGGGUUCCUCGUCAUCUUCGUGGCACUGAGAAUAAAGCAUUACAAACUUCAUCUUCUACCGAGGGUGACAGUCCUUUCACAAAAACUUAGUUGGAUCAGUUGAGUAAAUUUUUUUCUGGGAAUUCAGUUGUGUCAACAACACAUGGUACAACACUUUCUGCUAUUGCAGCCACCUCUUCUUCUGCUUCAGCCCCUUGGAUUAUUGACUUGGGUGCUUCUGAUCAUAUGACGGGACCAGGUCUCGGGUUAGAUGAUUAGGAGUGCUAAGGAAGUGUCAGGACUAUUAUUUUUUGCAUAAAAGGUCUUCGAAUGGGAGUGGGAGCAACUGCCUUCUUGUGACCUAAUCUUCCUCUUCUCGUCGUAAUAAAGUGAUGCUUCUUCAUUAUAGAUUAGGUCAUCCUAGUUUUUCUUAUCUAUGUCGUUUAUUUCCUAGUUUGUUUUCACAUAAAGACUCUUUUGUUUGUGAAACAUGUUUACUUGCUAAACAUACUCGGGUUUCUUUUCGUAUGCAUUCUUAUAAACCAUUUAAACCUUUUUCACUUAUUCAUAGUGAUUUAUGGGGUCCCUCUCGGAUCUCAUCUGUUUCUAAUAAAAAAUGGUUUGUUUCAUUUAUUGAUGAUUAUACUCGUGUGUGUUGGGUAUAUUUGCUUCAUGAACAAAAUGAAGUUUCUGAUAUCUUUGAAAAUUUCUAUGUCAUGAUUGAAACACAAUAUGAAACAAAAAUUCAAGGUCUACGAACUGAUAAUGGUAUUGAGUACUUUAAUUCUGUCCUUAGUUCAUUUCUUCUUAAAAAAAGGAUUAUUCAUCAGAGUUUGUGUUAACACCCCUCAACAAAACAUGGUGGCUAAAUGAAAAAAUCGUCAUCUUUUGGAAGUCUCUCGAGUCUUUUAUUUGGGGCUAAUGUCCCAAAACGUUUCUGGGGUGGUACUCUUUUGACAGCCUGUUUUUUAAUUAAUCACAUGCCUUCCAAAGUUCUUAAGUUUCAAACUCCUUUACAAUGUCUACAAAAAUCUUUUCCUAAUAACAGAUUUUUUUUCAGAGAUUGAUCUCUGUGGAUUUAUUUCAGUAAUUAGUUAGUUGACCACAGCUGUAAAUAGGGAUCAAUUUGGUAUUAAUACCAAAUAUUUUGUAUAUUUAUUCUUUCUAAAAUUAGGGGAUUUUUAUAGUUGUACUUUCUAGAAUUAGUUAUUUGUAUUUAUUAGGUCAGAUCCUAGGUUGUAUAUAUAUUCCCUUUCUUUGAGAUAAUAAUACACAGAAAAAUAUUCAAACAAUCACAAUCUCAGAGUUUUUGGCUGCUCAGUUUUCAUUCACGUUCAUACUCAAAAUCAUGGCAAACUUGAACUACGUUCUAAUAAAUGUGUUUUUCUCGGCUAUUCAUCUCUUCAAAAGGGAUAUCGUUGUUUUUCUGUUGAAAAAAAUAAAUAUUUCAUUUCUAAAGAUGUCACUUUUUUAGAGAAUCAAUAUUUUCUUUUAAGGAAAUUCAGUCUCAGGGGGAGAAUUUAAGUGAUCUGAAUUUUCUUGAUCAAUCUACCAACUCCCAGUUAAAUUCAAAUUGAGAAUAUUUUUGGCUGCCUCAAAGUUCUCUAGCCCCAACGCAAAAUUCUGCUCCUAGUUCUUCUUCAAUACCUCAAUUAUCUCCAGUUCCUGUGCCUCAAAAUUCGCACUCAAUUCCUGAUAUUUUACCAGAAAAACCUCCUAUUAUUACUUACUCUAGGCGAAGACCUGUUAUGCAAAAAGAUAGCACUACCGAGCAACCUACACCUCAAGAAUCUGAUCUGGGUACAGAUGCAAGCACUGGUUACUAAUUUAUCAACCACGGAAAUUCCUUCCAAUUUUGAAGAAGCCUACAAAGAUAGCAAUUGGAAACAUGUUGUUCUUGAAGAAAUGAGAGCUCUAGACAAGAACAAUACUUGGGAGGUUGUUGAUCAGCCACGUGGAGUGGUUCCAGUUGGGUGCGGAUGGGUUUUUACUGUUAAGUAUAAAGAAGAUGGUUUGAUUGAACGAUACAAAGCCAGGUUAGUGGCUAAGGGUUAUUCACAAACUUACGGGAUAGAUUAUCAAUAAACUUUUACACCUGUUGCAAAAGUUAAUACCAUUCGUGUGUUGUUAUCCCUUGCUGCCAAUUUGGACUGGACUCUUCAACAAUUAGAUGUAAAAAAUGCCUUUUUGAAUGGUGAUCUAGAAGAAGAAGUGUAUAUGGAAUUGCCACCUGGAUUUGACUCAGAGAAAAAAUAUGGAAAGGUAUGUAGACUGAAGCGAUCAUUAUAUGGAUUAAAGCAGUCUCCUCGUGCUUGGUUUGAGCGAUUUACCAAGGCUGUUAAAAAAAAUGGUUAUAGACAAACUCAAGCAGUUCAUAUACUUUUCUAUAGAUUGAGUAAUGGAAAGAUAGUAAUCUUAAUAAUGUAUGUUGAUGAUAUAAUUGUUACUGGCAAUGAUGGAGUUGAAAUUAGUAGAAUAAAAGGAAAGCUUGCCGAAGAUUUUGAUAUGAAAGAUUUAGGGAAUCUUCUGUAUUUUCUAAAAAUGGAGAUCGCUCGAAAUAAGGAUGGAAUUUCUGUUUCUCAACGGAAAUAUGUUCUGAAUCUGUUGAAAAUUACAAGAAUGUUGGGAUGUAAACCUGUAGAGACACCUAUGGAUGCUAAUGUAAAGCUUAGUCAAGACCAUUUUGAUGAUCAACCAGUCGAUAAAGGGCAAUAUCAGAUAUUAGUUGGUAAACUUAUUUACUUAUCUCAUACAAGACCAGAUAUAGCUUUUGCAGUAAGUUGUGUGAGUUAAUUUAUGCAUGCACCAUCUAAAAGUCAUCUUGAUGUUGUGUACAAAAUCCCCAAGUAUUUGAAAGGCACACUUGGGUGAGGUUUAUUGUUUAAAAAGCGGAAAAACAGAGGAGUGGAAGUGUAUGUUGAUGCUGAUUGGGCAGGCUCUCCUAUUGAUAGACGUUCAACUUUAGGGUAAUGUUCUUAUGUUUUUGGUAAUCUUGUGACUUGGAGGAGUAAGAAGCAACUAGUGGUAACCCGAAGUAGUGCAGAAGCUGAGCUUAGAGCUACAUCUCUUGGUAUUUGUGAAGCAAUAUGGUUGAAAUUACUUUUACAAGAGUUGAAAAUUGAAGUUAGAUUUCCCCUUCAGGUUUACUGUGAUAAUAAAGCUGCAAUUUUGAUAGUUCACAAUCUUGUUCAUCAUGAUCAUACUAAACAUGUUGAAGUGGAUUGACAUUUUAUUAAAGAGAAAAUUGAUGAGGGCACAAUUAAUAUUUCUUAUGUACCAUCUUCUCAUCAAACUGCUGAUAUUCUAAGAAAAGCCUUGUUCAAGCCUAUGUUUGAAAAUAUGAAGAACAAGCUUGGUUUGUUCAAUGUGUACUAUCCAGCUUGAGGGAGAGUGUUAGCGUGGUCAAUAUUUGUUAGGUUGUUAGAGUUUUAUUCCUUAGUUUUAGGAAUAUUGUUAUCAGAUUUUUUUUGUAUAAAUAUAUGUAUUAUUAGCCCUAAUGAAUAGAUAGCAGAGAUAUGCGAUUAAUCUCUUUCUUUUAUCUUUUUUUAAUAUUUUUUCUUGCUGAAUAUACUUUCAAGGAUUAACAUUUG